UACAGAGGUCCCGAGCGUUGUCCGGAAUCAUUGGGCGUAAAGAGCGUGUAGGCGGCCCGGUAAGUCCGCUGUGAAAGUCGGGGGCUCAACCCUCGAAUGCCGGUGGAUACUGUCGGGCUAGAGUGCGGAAGAGGCGAGUGGAAUUCCUGGUGUAGCGGUGAAAUGCGCAGAUAUCAGGAGGAACACCGAUUGCGAAGGCAGCUCGCUGGGACGUCACUGACGCUGAGGCGCGAAAGCGUGGGGAGCGAACGGG
rnacentral:rRNA from 1 species